UAUAAAUUAGUUAUGCAAAAAGUGAAAGUUUCAUUUCAUCUCUUUAAAUAUGGUCUUUAGGCUGGACAUGGUGGCAGAUGCCUCUAAUCCCAGUACUGGGAAGGCUGAGGCAGGAGGAUUGCCCGAGUUCAUUCCCAGAGGGAGGUACAUAAUGAAUCCAAGGCCACACUGAACUACAAAGAUGGACAUUCUAAUCAAACGCUGGGUGAAAAUGGAGAACUGCUGCAUAAAGUAUUAACUUUCCUGACUUGGACGAGUUUGAAAAUGGAUUCCAGGAAGGUUAAAAAGCAAUACCAGAGGGCAUACGUGCAGAAGUGGAUGUAGUCAGUCAUUCAAAGCAUUCAGGUAAGAAUAUGGCAAUAUAAAUAUCCAAAAAGCAUGACUUAGGUGUUCCAAACAAAACGUGUAGUCAUUCCUAACUAAUUUGAGCUGUAGAG